AUGUACCACUCGUACACUCCGGUUCUGAGCGCGCCGUCCGCGCCCACCUGACAGCUGCUCGCGACGUUUUGUUAGCC
rnacentral:ncRNA from 5 species